CCUACGGGAGGCAGCAGUGGGGAAUAUUGCACAAUGGGGGAAACCCUGAUGCAGCGACGCCGCGUGAAGGAAGAAGUAUUUCGGUAUGUAAACUACUAUCAGCAGGGAAGAAAAUGACGGUACCUGACUAAGAAGCCCCGGCUAACUACGUGCCAGCAGCCGCGGUAAUACGUAGGGGGCAAGCGUUAUCCGGAUUUACUGGGUGUAAAGGGAGCGUAGGCGGUGCAGCAAGUCAGAAGUGAAAGCCCGGGGCUCAACUCCGGGACUGCUUUUGAAACUGUUGAACUAGAGUGCAGGAGAGGUAAGUAGAAUUCCUAGUGUAGCGGUGAAAUGCGUAGAUAUUAGGAGGAACACCAGUGGCGAAGGCGGCUUACUGGACUGUAAAUGACGCUGAGGCUCGAAAGCGUGGGGAGCAAACAGGAUUAGAUACCCGGGUAGUC
rnacentral:rRNA from 1 species